rnacentral:rRNA from 1 species
GAGUUUGAUCAUGGCUCAGAACGAACGCUGGCGGCAGGCCUAACACAUGCAAGUCGAGCGGGACCUUCGGGUCUAGCGACGGACGGGUUAGUAACGCGUGGGAACGUGCCCAAAGGUACGGAAUAGCCUCGGGAAACUGAGAGUAAUACCGUAUGUGCCCCUCGGGGGAAAGAUUUAUCGCCUUUGGAUCGGCCCGCGUUGGAUUAGGUAGUUGGUGGGAUAAUGGCCUACCAAGCCGACGAUCCAUAGCUGGUUUGAGAGGAUGAUCAGCAACACUGGGACUGAGACACGGCCCAGACUCCUACGGGAGGCAGCAGUGGGGAAUCUUGCGCAAUGGGCGAAAGCCUGACGCAGCCAUGCCGCGUGAAUGAUGAAGGUCUUAGGAUUGUAAAAUUCUUUCACCGGGGAAGAUAAUGACGGUACCCGGAGAAGAAGCCCCGGCUAACUUCGUGCCAGCAGCCGCGGUA